CUCCCCCCAGCACCAACCCCCACCCACACUCUGCUCGCCAGCCUCGCACUUACAUCGGCACGCUCGGGCGCCGAGGGGCUCGGAAGGUCGCGCCCCUACUGGGGGGCGCGUCGCCCCUCCACACCCACGGCUGUGACGGCGUCGCCGGGAAAGUCAGGCCAUUCCUCCCGUCCUGCGCGCCGUCUCCUGUCCGCCUGCGCGCCCGCAGUUUAACCAAAGCUGCGUGUCUACGAGCCGUGCCCAUCACAUGGUGUCUGCCGGCGACCGCGCCUUGUUGCCUCCCUCUCCCGGCUCUCUGAGGAGGCAGCGACUGCGACUGGCGGAGGCUGAGCGUUGGGGAAGGGGUGAGGGAGGGGGUGCGGAAGCGCGUGCGCCCGCGCGCGGAGGCCGGCACCGAGAGCUGAGGCCGCGCGCCACCCGGGCACCUGCCUGACGCCCUCCGGGGCCGGGCAACGAGCUCCGAACUCAGCUGCCGGAGCAGCUGGAGGAUGGGAACCCUCGGGGCUGGAGCCCGCAGCGGGAGGUGCCUUCCCUCUUCCACAUCCAGCACCGGCCGACCUUGCCACCCCUCCCUGAGAUCGGGGCUGCGGAGCUCUGUGUUGGGCCCUGGGUGUGAUGCGACCUGAAGCACUUGCCGAGCUCCGAGCGCGCACCUGUCUAGGCGCGAAGAGGCCGAGAGUGGAGAUUCCGCGUUACUCCGCCCCGAGGGCUGCGGCGUUCCCGGCCCUCCCAAGUCCGGACUGGGAGCGUUGGAGGAUGCGGGAGAAGGAUGGAGGGCGGGAGCUGCUGGGCCCGGUUCUCUUUCUUCAGCCUACUCUUUGUUUCAAGCACAGCCCCUUCUAACUGGGCACUUCCUUGUGAGGGACUCGUGUCUGCUUAAAAUGGCGACAGGAAAUCUCACCUGCGCGCCAAUUAGUACAGGGCGAAUUGACAGGGUGGAAACUGGAAACUUAUAUUGACAGGGAUGGUUCCGUCGUGGUGUCUCAUCAAAACAGGACAGGGAAGGUGAAUCAUAAUCCAUAAAGUCACCGGUCUGGAGUCUUUCAAGCCGGCAGAUCGAGUAGUCAGUGUUGCAGUGGUUAUUUCAUCUGGGUCACUGCUGGAGACCACGACAGAGAACAACCCAGCGGAGCUCCUCCUCAUUAUUGACUAAAAUUCUUAUUCCCUUCGAACGGAAGUGGAUGGCCUUAGUUAGUUCAACAGUGGCUUCCUGAGAGCCCAGUUCAGAAGGCGUGUUCUUGACUUACCUGAGAAACCGAAAGGUCCGUUCAAACAAGGGGAAAGACAGGCAGCCUCGCUCAGCGGAUCCGCAGUUUCUUAGACUCGUAUUGCUUCCCUCACCAGCUUAACUAUUUUUGUCCCGGUGCUGUUUUCCUAGUUGGAAGGAAAAAAAAAGAUUAAUAGUAGACACAUCAGAGUAAUAUUCUGUAGGUCAUCUACUUUCUACCUUUUUGCCUAGAGGAAGUUAAUUUAGUGUGAAAUUACUGAGGUCAAGUAGGGUGCACUUUGCCUGGCACAAAUAAUUCCUAUGAAUCAGGUAAGAAAUUAAGUAGGUAAAAAGGUAAAUCGUGAGCCGUAGUUCAGUAACUCAGUUAAAACGUUUAUCUUGUUAAAGGCAGAAUAUAUAUUCAAUAUGUGUUUAAGAGAAUCAGAUCUUAAGCUUAUCUUUUGGUUCCAGUUUUAACUUACUUGCUAGUUCCGAGUAUACCAAAACAUGCAGUUACUUAGCAGUUUUUGAACUGGAUUAAAUAGUUAUGAAUUGAGGUCUUACUGUUUGCCGGGUACUGUGCUAAAACUUUCCAUGUAGGGCCCGGGAUUUAGCUUAGUGGUUCCACCGCCUGCCUGGAAAGGGCAAGGUCCCGAGUUCGAUCCCCAGUACCAAAAAAAAAAAAAAAAAAAAACUUUCCAUGUAAAUAUUUUCUCAUUUAAUCCUUUUCCCCCUUCAGUUAGAUAUUACUUCUGUAUGAACAAGAAAGGGUGUUCAAAGAGACUUCAUUGGCCCCAUUUACAUAAGACAGCAAGUAGUGAAGGGGAGAGCUAUUCCCUUUCAGGUCUGAUUUCAAAGUCCAUACUCAGUCUUAACCACAGAGCUUCUACCCAAUUUGCAAUCAGAUGAGGAUCUCCACCCCUCCUCUGGGUUUUAGUUGACCACUAGGAAGUGAAGGAAACCGUGAGGAUUGUUGCUGUGUGAGGAUUGGUGUGGGAGGGGGGAGAGGGAGGGUUCAGGAAGAGGAGUUUAUGCCUGGUUACGUCGGUGUUUUUCCAGGAUGCUUUCGGAUGAAACUUCCUCGUGUCCUUUCAGUAGUUCAGCUCUUAAACCUAAUUGCUGUGCUCUCAGUGGGGUACCACUCAUGUCAUGGAGGUGAUUUCCGUAUUCACUGUGUACUAAGAGACUAGCAGUAAGUGAAGCAUUUUAAAAUGGUCUGCCAGGUAGUGCUCCCAGCAUUGCCAACAGGACAUGCCAUUUUAAUUGCUGAUUCAGAGCUUAAAAGAAUUAAUCCCAAAUCCACAUAGCUGUAAUUGGCACAUCUAAGUCUUGAACCCAGAGCCUACUCCAAAGCCAGUACUGUAUGUCUGGCUCUAAAAUGUUCCUUGACUCUGCAGCAGCCCUGUUUGGAAGACCAGCAGGUAAGUGGACCUGUACCUUCAGAUGGGAACCACUGCUACGGAGUCUGGGAGUUAGUUUGCCAUCUGUUAAUUAGAUUUGCAAGCUCUGAGGUCAUUGUUAGUAUUGAAUGUUAUCUGUAGACCUCUCCUAAGUGAGCAGACUUCCCCAAAUGAUACUAAAGUAGUUUGGGCUGCCCUGCAGUAUUGAGAAAAUAAACUUUCUGCAUCCUCUCUCAUAGUAAGCCUAGGGUAAGAUCUGUGCCAUACAAUGAGAAUUGAGUAACUUUACCUAGUAGCGUCAUAGCUUUUUUGGUAUGGCUCCAGAAAAAGGGCACUUUGUGAAGAAAAACCAGUUGAACCCUAAAGAGUACUGAACCUGAACUUAAGCCACAUCAUCCCAGUUCCCCACUGUGUUCAGCUGGGUUGCCCAACAGGACAGCUGCAAAAAGGGCCACCACCAGCUGCUUACAGAAAAUAUGUGAUUUCCUCCACAGGUUUUCAGAGCCUUCCAAAUGCAUCUGGUCUGUUACUAGCAGACUUCUUGUGUACAAAUUUUGAGUAAUAUAAAAAUUAAAACUAUUUUCUGAAUAUAGUUCUUUUUAACUUAUAAAGGACUGUUGGGAUAAUCUGAAUUAUAACAGUGAUUUUAAAAAUAGGGAUGUCAACAGGUAAGGUUAUUUCAGAAUAAUGACUAUUUCUUACAUAUAACAGAAGGAGGUCUGCUAUCAGAUGCGCAAAUUCUACCUCAAUAGAAAAGUUGUUUAUUCUGAAAUCAAUCUUUUAUUCCUGAUUAUGGGUUCUAUAAUGGUCUAUAAAAUUACUGGUUUUUCUUGACUGAUGGGAUCACACCCCUUUGCCUGAUUAACUCUUUUACCAGCCUUGUUCUCUGGAUCUCAUCCAUACGUAACAAUAUCUUGACAUUGGAAGUUAGAGAAGCAGCCACAGCCAAAAGUGGAUUUGCAGCCAAAGGAACUCCCAGUUAUCUUGGCUGUCCUGCAGCUACCAAGCCUGUGUGGCCUACACCCCUUUGUAGAUAACACUGACAAAGAUAUUGUCACUUAUUCCAGCAUGGUGAUGAAUGCUACAUCUCUCCAGAUUUGUAAUUAAUUAGCUCUGGCAGGAGGUCACCAAUACCCACUGACUCCAAAAUGAAUUUAAAUCAAAACCCCAGAGUGAGCCUCUUUUAAAAACGCCUGUUGUCUCUGCUUUUGGCUAAGGUCAGCUUUGUAAGGUCACUUACUUAUUUUCUUAACCUGUUAGAGGAGCUUGUGGUGAAGUUCAUUAGGUAUUACAACUGUAUGGUGAUACAGUCUCAUUCAGUUGAGUUACCUAAAGAACCAGGGCAAGUGAUGAGACUGGAAGUUUAAUGCUGCCUUCCCUGGCACUUCCACACCAUUAUGCAGGUGCAUUGUGAGUCAGUUUCCUACCUAGCUACAAAAUGGGGUGUGAUACUCAUCUGGUGAUCAAGUCUACAAAGCACCCAAGCAGGAUGUUUGGUACAUAAUAAAUACCUAACAAAUGGUUCCUUUCGUUAUUUGCACACUUUGAAGAAACAGGCAUGGAACAAUUUUCAGAGCCUACGUUUAUAGGCACAAAGUAUUCUGUCAUGGCCACCCCAUACCGCUAAAGCUGCUGAGCUCACGUCUCAGUUGUAAUUCCUCCUACUGUAGAACUGGAAAAGAGAAGGUAUUAAAUAAUAAGCCCUAUUUCAACUUCUAAUUAACUUCAAGGUAGGAAAGCAUUUUGGGGGUAUACAUUAAGAAUUAGUUAAUUAGAAAGUAGAAGUGUCCCUAAAUUGAGUAUAGUGUCUAUAUUUAUAAUGGUGCUGGUGUAAAUCGAUGGAACUUUUUGUGAGGUAGCAAAUUUAGUGAAUGUGGGCUCUAGGGACAGAUUUCUCAAGUUCUGAUCUUUUUUGGGGAGUGGGGGAUCUGGGAAUCAAGACUCAGGAGUACUUAGCACUGAGUUGCAUCCCCAGCCUUUAUCUAUCUAUCUAUCCAACUAUCUUUAAUUUUGAGAAGGGUCUCACUAAGUUACACAGGCUGGCCUCAAACUUACAAUCCUCCUGCCUCAGCCUAGCAAAUAGCGUGAACUACUGGCAUGCAUCACUGUACCUGGCCCGAGUUCUAAUCUUGAUCCCACAGCUCUGUGACCUUGGGCAAGUCACUUAAUUUUUCUCUUUCUAGGUUUCUUCACUGAAAAAGGAAAUAAUAAUGCCUACCUCACAAGAUACAUCGUCACAUAAAAUAGUUCACAUUAUAUCUUAACUACUUAAUAAAUAAAUAUUGUAUUGGAAAAUAGUCUGGCAAGAAGUAGAAAGAACCUAGAUACCUUGUGUGUCACUUCUGGGGAUCUGAAAUCUAGAAAUGAUGCAGAAAGAUGCUUCCCUAUAGCAACAAAGGUAAGGAACAGGGUUUGGGAUGAGGCUAGUAUAGAUAAAAAGCUUCUUUCUUUCGUUUGUUUUGGUGGUACAGUGAGUGGUACCUCAGUUCACAAACUUAAUUCUUGACAUGAUUCUAGUUCCAAACCAAAUUGGAUGAAAACCGAUUUGAAUUCAAUGGUCAGGUUCAAUGUUGACCUUAUGGGGAAAUUUGAUUUGGUCCUCAUCCAAUUAAGUUUGCAACCAGAAUCAUGGAAAGAAUCAAGUUCAUGAAUAGAGGUACCACUAUAUUGGAGAUUAAGUCCAGAGCUUUUGCACUGAGCUACAUUUCCAGUCUGUCCCCCUCUUAAAUUUUUUAUUUUGAGACAAGGUCUGGCUAAGUUGCCCAGGCUGGGAUCAAACUUAUGAUCAUCCUCCUACCUCAGUCUUCCAGAGUGCUGGGACUACAGGGAUGUUCACCCCACCCAAUUUAAAAAGCAUGUUUAAAAACAUUCAUUGCUUUUUUUUUGGUUUUUUGAAACAGGGUCUCACUAUGUAGUUCAGGCUGGCCUUGAGCUCACUGUGUAACCCAGGCUGGCCUCAAACUCAGAGAUCCUCUUGCCUCAGCCUCCUUGGUGCUGGGAUUACAGUUGUGCAUCACCAUACAUUUAUUGAAACCAAGCAUAACAAAUUUAUAAAUGACAGAUCCAACUAAAUAGAGGGUUCAGAGAGCUCUGAACCAUCUGGAAACCCUUAGAGGUGCUUUAUUCUUUUUUUUUUUUGUACCGGGGACCGAACUCAGGCCCUUGCGCUUGCAAGGCAGGUGGUGAAACCACUGAGCUAAAUCCCCGGCCCUAGAGGUGCUUUAAGAAGCAAGAUACAGAGCUGACUCUUCCUUAGUUCUAAUCCAGUGUGAUCACUCUCUUUCUUAACCAGGUUGAGCAUCGAAAGGGAACAUAGCUGGAAGAUGGAUUUUCUUCCAAGAGCAGAGAAAUGAAAGUGAUCACAGGAAGGGAUGGAAGGCAUCAAGGAAAGUCAGUAUGUAGAUAAGAAAACUAGGGAAAAAAACAAAAUUGAAAGCCAGGAAUAGCUGAAGCAAGUCAUAAAUGCACAGCACCAGCUCUUAGGGCAGGCCUGGGGUAGGGUCAUCUCCACAUAUUAGAGCCAUCCUCUCACUAGGUGCUACUGGAUGCUAAAAUCUUAUGAGCAGAAGCAGUUUUCAGGUUUUCUGCUGGAAAGGUAGCUUUUGGGGGAAAGAGGUGUUUUGAUUUCAUUUGUCUUCUCACUAUAAGAGUAUUUAAAGGGAAAAAACCUAUUUAUAAUGAGUAGAAUACCAUGCCUUACCCCAAAUAAACUUCCAUUUUGAAUGGUUGUUCCUAGAAUAAGAAACACCAAAUAAUUUUCAGUGUGCUUGAUUUUUAUAUUUGAGGCAUAUGAAAUUUCAAAAUCACAAAGGGGGUAAUUUUAACAGAUUUAAAAUUGAUAGUCUUCUGUUGAUCUAUAUUUAUAAUUAUUUAUCCACACACUAUGUGCUCCUAAAAUAAAAUGUUUGAAGUUUUUUAUUCAAAUGUGAUAAGACCAAAACUGAACUCACUGUUCCUUCGCCCACCCCAAACCUUCUUCUCUCUUAAACCUCUUCUUGGGAAAUGGCACCACACAGGCAAAUGCUAAAGCUGGAAUGAGGGUAUCCUGGCUUGUCUCCUUUGCUUUCUGCAUGUAAUUCACUCUUUCAACUAACAUUUACUAAGUGCCAGUCAUUCUGCUAGUCUUCCAGGGAACCUGGAGUUAGGAAUAUGAGAUUGAAGGGCCAGGGAUUUAGCUCCGUGGUUCUGGUGCCUGCCGCAUAAGCGCAAGGUCCUAAGUUUGAUCCCUGGUACAAAAAAUAUAUAUAUAUGAGAUUGACAUUAAUUGGAUGGUCUCACCAGUGAAUGUACAAGUUACAGAUGGAGAGAAAGUUUGGAGGAAAAGGAGCCCAACUCUGGGGGAGAUGCACAGGACUUUGGACUUCCCUGGAAUGUGGCCCUUAUUUGGACUCUGGUUUCUGUAUGCAAAGGGUUUUGAUAAAGAGCCGGUGAUGGAUUCAAGGUGUUUUCAAAAGGAAUACAGCUAUGCCAAUUCUGUCUCCACCUGUUCCCUACUAUACAUUCCCUUUCCUCCAUCCCAUGACCAUUGCUGGUAUGAGCCUCUGUCAGCUCCCCCCUGGG
ensembl:lncRNA